GAAAUGCGAUAAGUAAUGUGAAUUGCAGAAUUCAGUGAAUCAUCGAAUCUUUGAACGCACCUUGCGCUCCUUGGUAUUCCUUGGAGCAUGCCUGUUUGAGUAUCAUGAAAUCUUCAAAGUAAAUCUGUUGUUAACUCAAUUGGUUUCUACUUUGGUAUUGGAGGUCUUUGCAGCUUCACACCUGCUCCUCUUUGUUCAUUAGCUGGAUCUCAGUGUUAUGCUUGGUUCCACUCGGCGUGAUAAGUUAUCUAUCGCUGAGGACACUGUAAAAGGUGGCCAAGGUAAAUGCAGAUGAACCGCUUCUAAUAGUCCAUUGACUUGGACAAUACUUUUAUGAUCUGAUCUCAAAUCAGGUAGGACUACCCGCUGAACUUAAGC
rnacentral:misc_RNA from 1 species